GGUUAAGCGACUAAGCGUACACGGUGGAUGCCCUGGCAGUCAGAGGCGAUGAAGGACGUGCUAAUCUGCGAUAAGCGUCGGUAAGGUGAUAUGAACCGUUAUAACCGGCGAUUUCCGAAUGGGGAAACCCAGUGUGUUUCGACACACUAUCAUUACGUGAAUACAUAGCGUAAUGAAGCGAACCGGGGGAACUGAAACAUCUAAGUACCCCGAGGAAAAGAAAUCAACCGAGAUUCCCCCAGUAGCGGCGAGCGAACGGGGAGCAGCCCAGAGUCUGAAUCAGCAUGUGUGGUAGUGGAACGGUCUGGAAAGUCCG
rnacentral:rRNA from 1 species